rnacentral:rRNA from 1 species
AACGAACGCUGGCGGCAGGCCUAACACAUGCAAGUCGAGCGGACCUUUCGGGGUCAGCGGCGGACGGGUGAGUAACGCGUGGGAAUAUGCCCUUCUCUACGGAAUAGUCCUGGGAAACUGGGGGUAAUACCGUAUACGCCCUUUGGGGGAAAGAUUUAUCGGGGAAGGAUUAGCCCGCGUUGGAUUAGGUAGUUGGUGGGGUAAUGGCCUACCAAGCCGACGAUCCAUAGCUGGUUUGAGAGGAUGAUCAGCCACACUGGGACUGAGACACGGCCCAGACUCCUACGGGAGGCAGGAGUGGGGAAUCUUAGACAAUGGGGGCAACCCUGAUCGAGCCAUGCCGCGUGAGUGAUGAAGGCAUUAGGGUUGUAAAGCUCUUUCAGCUGGGAAGAUAAUGACGGUACCAGCAGAAGAAGCCCCGGCUAACUCCGUG